GCGUCCCCAGCCCCCAUGCACCCAGCUCCACCCUCGGGAGCGGCUAUCAGUUGCUAGGUGGGGCUGUCUGCCAGGGAGAUUAGAAGAGGGCGAAGCCUGCCCCAACAAUCCCCAACGCAGAGCUCUGAACUUAGAAAAAUGCUGCCCAAGUUCCACCCAGAGUCCCGACCUCUGCGGGUAUGACCGCUGAAUUACCCCGCUCUUCCGACAGCCUUUGGGGUUGCCCGCCCACGUCGAAGCCCACCUCCCACGAGCAAGGGGAAGAAAUUGAGCUUCCAAGGAAGAGCUCAAGCAAUAAAUGCUAGGUCAGAGGGACAACUUGUGAGGUCACAAUCAGAGCUCUUCGCCAGGUCUUUUCCUCCUGGGCUGUAUUCAGUAUGU